AUGACGGUGAUCAAGGCUGGCCCUGCUUUCAUCUGUGUCAUCCCAGAGCCUGAGUGCCUCAGUUUCCUCAUGUACCUAGUGGGGGCCAUGAGGCCUGCCUUCUGGGGUUCUUCUUUCCCCCUCCGCAGGUGCACCCAAGAUCCCAAGGUAGGGCAGUUUCUCUCAGAACUAUUGACCAACCGAAAGGAGAACAUUCCUUUCAAGCUUUCUGAAGACUGUCUUUACCUCAAUAUUUACACUCCUGCUGACUUGACCAAGAAAAACAGGCUGCUGGUGAUGGUGUGGAUCCACAGAGGGGGGCUGAUGGUGGGCACCGCAUCAACCUCUGAUGGGCGGGUACUCGCAGCCCAUGAAAACGUGGUGGUGGUGACCAUUCAGCACUGCCUGGGCAUCUGGGGAUUCUUCAGGUUGACACAUCUGACUUCUCAUGGAAAGGAGGGAAGGGGCAGAGUCAUACAGGGAGUUCAGGGCAUAUUGUGGGUGAAGGAAUGGGCGCUGCAGAAGGUGUGGUGGCUCAUGCCUGUAAUUUCUGAGAGUGAUGUGGCCCUCACUCCUGCUCUGGUGGAGAAGGGUGACGUCAAGCCCCUGGCUGAGCAAAUUGCUAACACUGUUGGGUGUGAAACCACCAACUCAGCUGUCAUGGCUCACUGUCUGCGGCAGAAGAUGGAAGAGGAGCUCUUGGAGACGACAUUGAAAAUGAAUUUCUGAACUCUAGACUUACAUGGAGACCCCAGAGAGAGUUACCCCCACACACCCACGGUGAUUGAUGGAGUGGUGCUGCCAAAAACACCCGAGGAGCUUCAAGCUGAAAGGAAGUUCCACACUGUCCCCUACAUUGUCGGAUUUAACAGGAAGGAAUUUGGCUGGUUUCUUCCAACAUUGAUGAGCUAUCUACUCUCCGAAGGGAAACUGGACCAGAAGACAGCCAUGUCACUCUUCUGGAAGUCCUAUCCCUUUGUUCGCAUUCCUAAGGAAUUGAUUCCAGAAGCCAUUGAGAAGUACUUAGGAGGAACAGAUGACCCUGUCAAGAAGAAAGACCUGUUCCUGGACUUAAUGGGGGACGUACUGUUCGGUGUCCCAUCUGUGACUGUGGCCCGGAACCACAGAGAUGCUGGAGCACCCACCUACAUGUAUGAGUUUCAGUACCGUCCAAGCUUCUCAUCAGACAUGAAACCCAAGACGGUGAUAGGAGACCACGGGGAUGAGCUCUUCUCCGUCCUUGGGGCCCCAUCUUUAAAAGAGGGUGCCUCAGAAGAGGAGAUCAGACUUAGCAAGAUGGUGAUGAAAUUCUGGGCCAACUUUGCUCGCAAUGGAAACCCCAAUGGAGAAGGGCUGCCGCACUGGCCAGAGUACAACCAGGAGGAAGGGUACCUGCAGAUUGGUGCUAACACCCAGGCAGCCCAGAAGCUGAAGGACAAGGAAGUAGCUUUCUGGACCAAACUCUUCGCCAAGAAGGCAGUGGAGAAGCCACCCCAGAUAGAACACAUUGCGCUGUGAACGGAAGGUCCAUCCAGCCUCAGGAACCUGGAGGAGCAAAGACUGGGGUCUUUUGCCAAAGGGAUUGCAGGUUCAGAAGGCAUCUUACCAUGGCUGGG